CCUACGGGUGGCAGCAGUAGGGAAUCUUCCACAAUGGACGAAAGUCUGAUGGAGCAACGCCGCGUGAGUGAAGAAGGGUUUCGGCUCGUAAAGCUCUGUUGGUAGGGAAGAAAGACAGAGGUAGUAACUCGCCUUUAUUUGACGGUCAUUACUUAGAAAGUCACGGCUAACUACCUGCCAACAGCCUCGGUAAUACGGAGGUGGCAAGCGUUGUCCGGAUUUAUUGGGCGUAAAGCGAGGGCAGGCGGUUCAAUAAGUCUGAUGUGAAAGCCGUCGGCUCAACCGGAGAAUUGCAUCAGAAACUGGUGGACUUGAGUGCAGAAGAGGUGAGUGGAACGCCAUGUGUAGCGGUGGAAUGCGUAGAUAUAAGGAAGAACACCAGUGGCGAAGGCGGCUCACUGGUCUGCAACUGACGCUGAGGCUCGAAAGCAUGGGUAGCGAACAGGAUUAGAUACCCCUGUAGUC
rnacentral:rRNA from 1 species